rnacentral:lncRNA from 1 species
GGAAGAAAAUUGUUAAUCUUUCAUUUAAACCCUAAUCAUGAAAAGAGGUCCCUAUAUAUAGGGCCAAAAUACAAAAUUUGCAUAAAUUCCCUUAUACAGAAAUAAAUCCUAAUAAACCCACAAAUAACACAAAUAACCCACAAAUAAUUCCUAAAAUGCAAAUAAGCCCAGAAAUAAAAUAAACCACAAAUAAACCCUAAAAUGCAAAUAAACCCAGAAAUAAAAAUAAACAAAUAUGCAAAUAAAAUAGGUCUGACUCAAUCCGGAGGCUCAGGAUCAUCUGGAUGAAGGGCUCUGAUGUCCCCAUCACGACCGUACCGAAUUCUUGGCAGGACUCAAUGGAGUCUGUUGUAUUGUUUUGCCAAAGGAGUCUGGUCUAUCUUGAAAAUGGUAAGCUAUGAAGACAAAACGCUCAAUUUUUGGCCGCCACCAUCUUAUGGUUGUGUUGUAGUUUUCUGCACGUCAAUCAUGUGGUAUUGUUAGAAUUUGUGAUUGAAGAUUAUAAUUGAUUGAAGAUAGAUCGGAGAUCUCCAUGUCUUAAAUAGUUUUUUGAUGUGAAGGAGGUUUGACCACCCAAAAUUUAUUGGAUCGUGACAAUAUUUACAGUGUUAUUGUUACAGUGCGUGAGGUCUGAACCAGUACCAGAGAGGAAGAAGGAGAUCUAUUGUGUAAGCUCCAUAUCUCACAUAGUCUAAUACUAUAUUAAACAUAAUUUAAUGCCCCCUGGCAAAAUCAGAAGAUGUCAAAGAAUCUUGUAAAUAUAGAUCCAAAUUUCUUCAUUUUUUCCUCCAAUUUAUCUCUUAAAUUUUCAAGGUAUCAAAGCAUACAGUGAUCCAUUAAUAUCGUUGUGCUGCAUAUUGUUUUCUCUUCUAAAGAAAAGGGCCCGACCGAAGUCUCUUAUUGCAAAUGCACACCAUUUUAUUUUGCGACUAAUAGAAGUAUGGUUUGAUUCAACCUUUAUCAAGCUGCUCGGUUUGUUCGGCAAUCCUAAUUGUACCAUGCUCGCUAGGCUGGUCGAUUUGAAAUUUUUAAAUGAAUGGACCUGAUUUUCCAUAAAAGUUAAUUAUCUGAAAAAACUCAAGAUAUUUUUUCUAUGGCUUACAUUAAAAAAUAAAUAUUAGUGAAGGUUUUAAUAAGAAAGAAAGGAGUCGAAUUUUUGAACGCACAUAUAUUAAUUAAUUUAAAAGCACCAACUAAG